rnacentral:rRNA from 1 species
AACGAACGCUGGCGGCAUGCCUAACACAUGCAAGUCGAACGAGACCUUCGGGUCUAGUGGCGCACGGGUGCGUAACGCGUGGGAAUCUGCCCUUGGGUUCGGAAUAACAGUUAGAAAUGACUGCUAAUACCGGAUGAUGUCUUCGGACCAAAGAUUUAUCGCCCAGGGAUGAGCCCGCGUCGGAUUAGCUAGUUGGUGAGGUAAAGGCUCACCAAGGCGACGAUCCGUAGCUGGUCUGAGAGGAUGAUCAGCCACACUGGGACUGAGACACGGCCCAGACUCCUACGGGAGGCAGCAGUGGGGAAUAUUGGACAAUGGGCGAAAGCCUGAUCCAGCAAUGCCGCGUGAGUGAUGAAGGCCUUAGGGUUGUAAAGCUCUUUCGCGCGCGACGAUGAUGACGGUAGCGCGAGAAGAAGCCCCGGCCAACUUCGUGCCAGCCGCCGCCGUAACAC